rnacentral:rRNA from 1 species
UACGUAGGGGGCGAGCGUUGUCCGGAUUUAUUGGGCGUAAAGAGCGUGUAGGCGGCCAGGUAGGUCUGCUGUGAAAACUCGAGGCUCAACCUCGAGACGUCGGCGGAAACCAUCUGGCUAGAGUCCGGAAGAGGAGAGUGGAAUUCCUGGUGUAGCGGUGAAAUGCGCAGAUAUCCGAAGGAACACCGGUGGCGAAGGCGGCUUCCUGGACCGACACUGACGCUGAGGCGCGAAAGCUAGGGGAGCAAACGGG